UACGAAGGGGGCUAGCGUUGCUCGGAAUUACUGGGCGUAAAGGGCGCGUAGGCGGACAGUUUAGUCAGAGGUGAAAGCCCAGGGCUCAACCUUGGAAUUGCCUUUGAUACUGGAUGUCUUGAGUGCGGGAGAGGUGUGUGGAACUCCGAGUGUAGAGGUGAAAUUCGUAGAUAUUCGGAAGAACACCAGUGGCGAAGGCGACCCACUGGCCCGUAACUGACGCUGAGGCGCGAAAGCGUGGGGAGCAAACAGG
rnacentral:rRNA from 1 species